AGAGUUUGAUCAUGGCUCAGAUUGAACGCUGGCGGAAUGCUUUACACAUGCAAGUCGAACGGCAGCAUAGGUGCUUGCACCUGAUGGCGAGUGGCGAACGGGUGAGUAAUACAUCGGAACGUGCCCAGUCGUGGGGGAUAACGUAGCGAAAGUUACGCUAAUACCGCAUACGAUCUACGGAUGAAAGCGGGGGACCGUAAGACCUCGCGCGAUUAGAGCGGCCGAUGCCUGAUUAGCUAGUUGGUGGGGUAAAAGCCCACCAAGGCGACGAUCAGUAGCUGGUCUGAGAGGACGAUCAGCCACACUGGGACUGAGACACGGCCCAGACUCCUACGGGAGGCAGCAGUGGGGAAUUUUGGACAAUGGGGGCAACCCUGAUCCAGCAAUGCCGCGUGAGUGAAGAAGGCCUUCGGGUUGUAAAGCUCUUUUGUCAGGGAAGAAACACCGGCUCUAACACAGUCCGGGAAUGACGGUACCUGAAGAAUAAGCACCGGCUAACUUCGUGCCAGCAGCCGCGGUAAU
rnacentral:rRNA from 1 species